rnacentral:tRNA from 1 species
UGCAGCGUGGCUCAGUGGAAAGAGCACUGACCUGGGAGUCAAAAGACCUGGGUUCUAAUCCCAGUACUGUCA